rnacentral:rRNA from 1 species
CAGCAGCCGCGGUAAUACGAAGGGGGCUAGCGUUGUUCGGAUUUACUGGGCGUAAAGGGCGCGUAGGCGGACUGAUAAGUCAGGGGUGAAAUCCCAGAGCUCAACUCUGGAACUGCCUUUGAUACUGGGUAUCUUGAGUAUGGAAGAGGUGAGUGGAAUUCCGAGUGUAGAGGUGAAAUUCGUAGAUAUUCGGAGGAACACCAGUGGCGAAGGCGGCUCACUGGUCCAUUACUGACGCUGAGGUGCGAAAGCGUGGGGAGCAAACAGGAUUAGAUACCCCUGUAGUCCCUGUCUCUUAUAC